UACUCGCAGUAAGAAGCACCGGCUAACUCACGUGCCAGCAGCCGCGGUAAUACGGUAGGGUGCGAGCGUUAAUCGGAAUUACUGGGCGUAAAGCGCAGCGCAGGCGGUUGAGAUAAGUUAGAUGUGAAAGCCCCGGGCUCAACCUGGGAAUUGCGAUUUGAAAAUGUCUCAGCUAGAGUACUGUGUCAGAGGGGGGUAGAAUUCCAGGUGUAGCGGUGAAAUGCGUAGAGAUCUGGAGGAAUACCGGUGGCGAAGGCGGCCCCCUGGACAAAGACUGACGCUCAGGUGCGAAAGCGUGGGGAGCAAACAGGAUUAGAUACCCUGGUAGU
rnacentral:rRNA from 1 species